GACGAACGCUGGCGGCGUGCCUAAUACAUGCAAGUAGAACGCAGUUGCGAACGGGUGAGUAACGCGUAGGUAACUGCCUCAUAGCGGGGGAUAACUAUUGGAAACGAUAGCUAAUACCGCAUACCAUCAGAUGUGCCCAGAUGGGAUUAGCGUGUUGGUGGGGUAACGGCUCACAAAGGAGAAGAACCCUAGCUGGUCUGAGAGGAUGACCAGCCAACCUGGACCUGAGAAACGGCCCCGACGCCUACGGGAGGCAGCAGUAGGGAAUCCUCGGCAAUGGACGGAAGUCUGACCGAGCAACGCCGCGGGAGUGAAGAAGGUUUUCGGAUCGUAAAGCUCUGUUGUUAGAGAAGCGGUAACUAACCAGAAAGGGACGGCUAACUACGUGCCAGCCGCCGCGGUAAUAC
rnacentral:rRNA from 1 species